UCUCAUUCCCCACUCAAACGACUCUCUCUCGAUAUCUCUAUCCCUGUCUCUCUCUAGAACCUUCCCCCUUCCCCUCCUCCCCGACGAAUUUCAUUACCUUCGCAGGCCACCUCAUAGCCCGAAUCUAUGGUGGUAUCACCACCUAUCAGCCUCCUAUGGUGCAUAUGCUCUUGUUUGAUGAGGUUUCAUGGUCCGACCACAAAGAAGUUUUACCCACACCUUGUUGGUUCAAGUUUAUGGCCAUCUCCGGCCUUGCUCCGGCAAGACAUGUCUGUUUCGAGCCUGGCUUCGACCCCUCUUGCUUAGAUCAACAACCAUCCAAGCCUUUCUCACCG
rnacentral:lncRNA from 1 species